UCGCAGUUGAUACACGGCAUCCUUCGGCCAGCUCAGCUUUAGCUCUUCAAUAAUGUUGUUACGGAGACGAUAGCAGAAAGUUAAGCAGGGCUGCAGAGUCGGAGUACAUUGGCCACUGGGCUGGACUGCAAGUACAUGUGCGGGCUUUACCUGCAAAGACAAAGGACUAGACAGGACAGAAAUUUGGCCCUGGGCUGCACUCGAAGUGCAAACACGGGCUCAGAAAUUUGGACUUGGAUCGCGAACACGGGCCUUUGUUGUCUUAACUCUUAACUCUGUAGACGAAUUCUCCGGUACUUUGACUUGGGACGUGUGUAGUGUACAACUAGAAGGCCGUGGCCUAUAAAGAAGUUGUCGUCAGCCUCCGCUCCUGUGCAAGAAGGAUGACCUUUACAUCCAAGUCUGAUUGUUUUUCAGAAAAAAAUCCACUUUUUGAAGGUUCUUGAAUAUCUGCCAGGUAUUCGACGGAAUGCUCUCAUGAACUUUACUUUGAAAUGGGCUUUCCAGAAGUGGCAUUUAAACUUACAUGGAGUCACUGAUCAGUUGCAGCAUUACAAACCACAUGACCAAGUCUUACUGGAGUGAUUUUAAAGGCAGCAGCUAUAAAUUUCUUCAAUAUCUUGGUAAAACUUCCUUUUCGUCGCAGGGUUCAGUUCUUGGGGAUGCACGAAUGUGGAGGCCCCCGUCAAUUUGUAGAGUGAGCAUGGUUCUGUAGUUGACUGUUGCAUUUUCAUCACUGAGCCUGAAAAUGUAGCUUCCUAACAGGAUGGCAGAGAAAAUCUUCAUUUGCCUUGAACUUGAAGGGGCUUUCUGCCUGGAAAACACCAUUUUCGUCAAGCCAUCUCUCUGGCCGAAAAUCCUCAGCAUCACUACCCCACAAGAAUUUCAUCCUACCCAUGGCAUAGGGCUGCUGGAUAGAGUCUAAUUGUCUCAGUCGAAGCUGCAUUGAGAUACUGCAUAUUUUCAAGGGCUUCAUGAGUUAUACUGGCCACGAGUUUGUCAAUGCUUGAAUUAUCCUUGAUUUUGGUUGCCUCUGAUCCAAUGUUCAUGAACCGCUUGAUCUUCCAAAAGACAUCAACGUAUCUGUAGAGGAUAAUUGCGCUUGCUUCAUCAAAAGCUUUGGAGAAUUGCGUGCCUUCUUUGUAUAAUCCAUACAUGCUGUCAAGUUCCACACCUAGUACAACUUUGAAAACUGAGUCCAAGGUUGAUUUCAUGAACAGAUCCUGCAGAUUUAGCCUCGGAAACUAUACCAACAAGCUUUACGGCAGUAGUUUUAAAGACAACACUGCUAAAGUCCCUCACUAUUUUGGUGGAGAAUUCAUAGCUUGAUAGCUUCCUCUGCAGCCGCCACUUCUCUCCAUCCACUGUGAAGAUCCCAUCUCCCAGAAGAUCCGUCAAAAUGUCAUAGUGGGUCUGAGGUAUAAACCUCACUUCUGCAGAAGCUAAGCAAUCUGUAAGUCCUGUAUUUGGCUGCAAGGUCAGUCAUGUAAUGGUGCAGCCUGUGAAAAUUGACCAGUUGGUGAAGCACGGUGCCACCGAUGGGGUGACGUCUUUUCUUCUUCUCAGUUGUCUUUUUCAGGUAAAUCGAAAACAGCAGGAGACGAAAGACUGUCUGUUCGUCAAUUGUUCUAGUUCGUAAGGUGUUUCCCAAAACAUAAGAAACAGACAACCUUCUUCUGUACAUAAUCAAAUAAAGGCUAUUAUU